rnacentral:rRNA from 1 species
GAUGAACGCUGGCGGCGUGCCUAAUACAUGCAAGUCGAGCGAACGGACGAGAAGCUUUCGUCUCUGAUGUUAGCGGCGGACGGGCGAGUAACACGUGGAUAACCUACCUAUAAGACGGGGAGAACUUCGGGAAACCGGAGCUAAUACCGGAUAAUAUGUUGAACCGCAUGGUUCAAAAGUGAAAGACGGUCUUGCUGUCACUUAUAGAUGGAGCCGCGCUGCAUUAGCUAGUUGGUAAGGGAACGGCUUACCAAGGCAACGAUGCAUAGCCGACCUGAGAGGGUUAAUCGCCCCCCUGGGACCUAGACCCCGUUCCGACUCCCUCGGGAGGCCGCAGUUGGGAAUCUUUCGCCAUUGGCCGAAGCCUUACCGCGCCACGCCGCGUUGGUGAUGAAGGUCUUCGGGUUGUAAAACCCUUUUUUUUGGGAAGAACAUAUUUUUAAGUAACUUUUCGCAUCUUGACCGUACCCAAACAAAAAGCCACCGCUAAAUUCCUG